rnacentral:rRNA from 1 species
AAUCCGGGGUUUCAAGGCCGAGAGCUGAUGACGAGUCGUCUUUUAGAUGACGAAGUGGUUGAUGCCAUGCUUCCAAGAAAAGCUUCUAAGCUUCAGGUAACCAGGAACCGUACCCCAAACCGACGCAGGUGGUCGGGUAGAGAAUACCAAGGCGCUUGAGAGAACUCGGGUGAAGGAACUAGGCAAAAUGGCACCGUAACUUCGGGAGAAGGUGCGCCGGCUAGGGUGAAGGAUUUACUCCGUAGGCUCUGGCUGGUCGAGGAUACCAGGCCGCUGCGACUGUUUAUUAAAAACACAGCACUCUGCAAACACGAAAGUGGACGUAUAGGGUGUGACGCCUGCCCGGUGCCGGAAGGUUAAUUGAUGGGGUUAGCGCAAGCGAAGCUCUUGAUCGAAGCCCCGGUAAACGGCGGCCGUAACGAUAACGGUCCUAAGGUAGCGAAAUUCCUUGUCGGGUAAGUUCCGACCUGCACGAAUGGCGUAACGAUGGCGGCGCUGUCUCCACCCGAGACUCAGUGAAAUUGAAAUCGCUGUGAAGAUGCAGUGUAUCCGCGGCUAGACGGAAAGACCCCGUGAACCUUUACUGUAGCUUUGCACUGGACUUUGAGCCUGCUUGUGUAGGAUAGGUGGGAGGCUUUGAAGCGUGGACGCCAGUUCGCGUGGAGCCAUCCUUGAAAUACCACCCUGGCAUGCUUGAGGUUCUAACUCUGGUCCGUAAUCCGGAUCGAGGACAGUGUAUGGUGGGCAGUUUGACUGGGGCGGUCUCCUCCUAAAGAGUAACGGAGGAGUACGAAGGUGCGCUCAGACCGGUCGGAAAUCGGUCGCAGAGUAUAAAGGCAAAAGCGCGCUUGACUGCGAGACAGACACGUCGAGCAGGUACGAAAGUAGGUCUUAGUGAUCCGGUGGUUCUGUAUGGAAGGGCCAUCGCUCAACGGAUAAAAGGUACUCCGGGGAUAACAGGCUGAUACCGCCCAAGAGUUCAUAUCGACGGCGGUGUUUGGCACCUCGAUGUCGGCUCAUCACAUCCUGGGGCUGAAGCCGGUCCCAAGGGUAUGGCUGUUCGCCAUUUAAAGUGGUACGCGAGCUGGGUUUAGAACGUCGUGAGACAGUUCGGUCCCUAUCUGCCGUGGACGUUUGAGAUUUGAGAGGGGCUGCUCCUAGUACGAGAGGACCGGAGUGGACGAACCUCUGGUGUUCCGGUUGUCACGCCAGUGGCAUUGCCGGGUAGCUAUGAUCGGAAAAGAUAACCGCUGAAAGCAUCUAAGCGGGAAACUUGCCUCAAGAUGAGAUCUCACUGGGAACUUGAUUCCCCUGAAGGGCCGUCGAAGACUACGACGUUGAUAGGCU